rnacentral:rRNA from 1 species
AGAGUUUGAUCCUGGCUCAGGAUGAACGCUAGCAACAGGCUUAACACAUGCAAGUCGAGGGGCAGCGGGGGAGUAGCAAUACUCCCGCCGGCGACCGGCGCACGGGUGAGUAACACGUAUGAAACCUGCCCGUAGCAGGGGGAUAAGCGGAAGAAAUUCCGUCUAAUACCGCGUAACAACCCGAGGAGGCAUCUCCUCGGGUUUAAAGGAGGCGAUUCCGGCUACGGAUGGUCAUGCGUCGCAUUAGCUAGUUGGCGGGGUAACGGCCCACCAAGGCGACGAUGCGUAGGGGUUCUGAGAGGAAGGUCCCCCACACUGGCACUGAGACACGGACCAGACUCCUACGGGAGGCAGCAGUGAGGAAUAUUGGUCAAUGGCCGCAGGGCUGAACCAGCCAAGUCGCGUGAGGGAUGACGGUCCUAUGGAUUGUAAACCUCUUUUGUCAGGGAGCAAAGGACGCCACGUGUGGUGUUUUGCGAGUACCUGAAGAAAAAGCAUCGGCUAACUCCGUGCCAGCAGCCGCGGUAAUACGGAGGAUGCGAGCGUUAUCCGGAUUUAUUGGGUUUAAAGGGUGCGCAGGCGGAAUGUCAAGUCAGCGGUAAAAUUUCGGGGCUCAACCCCGUCGUGCCGUUGAAACUGGCGUUCUUGAGUGAGCGAGAAGUAUGCGGAAUGCGUGGUGUAGCGGUGAAAUGCAUAGAUAUCACGCAGAACUCCGAUUGCGAAGGCAGCAUACCGGCGCUCAACUGACGCUCAUGCACGAAAGCGUGGGUAUCGAACAGGAUUAGAUACCCUGGUAGUCCACGCAGUAAACGAUGAAUACUAACUGUCCGGGCCGAUUGAGGUCUGGGUGGUACAGCGAAAGCGUUAAGUAUUCCACCUGGGGAGUACGCCGGCAACGGUGAAACUCAAAGGAAUUGACGGGGGCCCGCACAAGCGGAGGAACAUGUGGUUUAAUUCGAUGAUACGCGAGGAACCUUACCCGGGCUCAAACGACGGAUGAAUGUUUCUGAAAGGAGGCAGCCCUUCGGGGCAUCCGUCGAGGUGCUGCAUGGUUGUCGUCAGCUCGUGCCGUGAGGUGUCGGCUUAAGUGCCAUAACGAGCGCAACCCCCAUCGCCAGUUACCAGCAAGUAAAGUUGGGGACUCUGGCGAGACUGCCGGCGCAAGCUGUGAGGAAGGCGGGGAUGACGUCAAAUCAGCACGGCCCUUACGUCCGGGGCGACACACGUGUUACAAUGGCAGGUACAGAGAGAUGCGAUGCGGCGACGCAGAGCGGAACUUCAAAGCCUGUCUCAGUUCGGAUUGGAGUCUGCAACCCGACUCCAUGAAGCUGGAUUCGCUAGUAAUCGCGCAUCAGCCACGGCGCGGUGAAUACGUUCCCGGGCCUUGCACACACCGCCCGUCAAG